rnacentral:rRNA from 1 species
GAUGAACGCUGGCGGCGUGCCUAAUACAUGCAAGUCGAGCGAACAGACGAGGAGCUUGCUCCUCUGACGUUAGCGGCGGACGGGUGAGUAACACGUGGAUAACCUACCUAUAAGACUGGGAUAACUUCGGGAUACCGGAGCUAAUACCGGAUAAUAUAUUGAACCGCAUGGUUCAAUAGUGAAAGACGGUUUUGCUGUCACUUAUAGAUGGAUCCGCGCCGCAUUAGCUAGUUGGUAAGGUAACGGCUUACCAAGGCAACGAUGCGUAGCCGACCUGAGAGGGUGAUCGGCCACACUGGAACUGAGACACGGUCCAGACUCCUACGGGAGGCAGCAGUAGGGAAUCUUCCGCAAUGGGCGAAAGCCCGACGGAGCAACGCCGCGUGAGUGAUGAAGGUCUUCGGAUCGUAAAACUCUGUUAUUAGGGAAGAACAAAUGUGUAAGUAACUAUGCACGUCUUGACGGUACCUAAUCAGAAAGCCACGGCUAACUACGUG